rnacentral:rRNA from 1 species
UGACCCUGGCUCAGGACGAACGCUGGCGGCGUGCCUAAUACAUGCAAGUCGAGCGGAUCUUGUCCUUCGGGACAAGAUUAGCGGCGGACGGGUGAGUAACACGUGGGUAACCUGCCUGUAAGACUGGGAUAACAUUCGGAAACGAAUGCUAAUACCGGAUACGCGAUUUGGUCGCAUGACUGAAUCGGGAAAGAUGGAGCAAUCUAUCACUUACAGAUGGACCCGCGGCGCAUUAGCUAGUUGGUGAGGUAACGGCUCACCAAGGCGACGAUGCGUAGCCGACCUGAGAGGGUGAUCGGCCACACUGGGACUGAGACACGGCCCAGACUCCUACGGGAGGCAGCAGUAGGGAAUCUUCCGCAAUGGACGAAAGUCUGACGGAGCAACGCCGCGUGAGUGAUGAAGGUUUUCGGAUCGUAAAGCUCUGUUGCCAGGGAAGAAUGCUUGGGAGAGUAACUGCUCCCAAGGUGACGGUACCUGAGAAGAAAGCCCCGGCUAACU